rnacentral:sRNA from 12 species
GCGGGCUUGGAAUUAAGAUGCUGUGGGCCCGCAUCAGCGCGUCUAAGCUGGUGAUCACGGGGAUCUUUGCACGCCAGCAAGUAUAGCCGCGUCACUCUAAAGUAGGCCGCCGGGGGGUAGCUCGCCAUUGCUCCGGUGCUCCGAAUUUUAUGUGAGUUGACGCGCCGCGCGCUUCAAAGGGGUGGCCGUUGUGGUGACGGCCAGAAAGCGCGGACGCCG